rnacentral:rRNA from 1 species
CACGUAGGCACCAAGCGUUGUCCGGAUUUAUUGGGCGUAAAGAGCUCGUAGGCGGUUCGGUAAGUCGGGUGUGAAAACUCUGGGCUCAACCCAGAGCCGCCACCCGAUACUGCUGUGGCUAGAGUCCGGUAGGGGAGCGUGGAAUUCCUGGUGUAGCGGUGAAAUGCGCAGAUAUCAGGAGGAACACCAGCGGCGAAGGCGGCGCUCUGGGCCGGAACUGACGCUGAGGAGCGAAAGCGUGGGGAGCAAACAGG